AUUGAACGCUGGCGGAAUGCUUUACACAUGCAAGUCGAACGGCAGCACGGGGGCAACCCUGGUGGCGAGUGGCGAACGGGUGAGUAAUACAUCGGAACGUGCCCGGUCGUGGGGGAUAACGUCGCGAAAGUUACGCUAAUACCGCAUCCGAUCUGAGGAUGAAAGCGGGGGACCUUCGGGCCUCGCGCGAUCGGAGCGGCCGAUGUCAGAUUAGGUAGUUGGUGGGGUAAAGGCCUACCAAGCCGACGAUCUGUAGCUGGUCUGAGAGGACGACCAGCCACACUGGGACUGAGACACGGCCCAGACUCCUACGGGAGGCAGCAGUGGGGAAUUUUGGACAAUGGGCGCAAGCCUGAUCCAGCCAUUCCGCGUGCAGGACGAAGGCCUUCGGGUUGUAAACUGCUUUUGUAUGGAACGAAAAGGCUCUGGCUAAUACCUGGGGCUCAUGACGGUACCGUAAGAAUAAGCACCGGCUAACUACGUG
rnacentral:rRNA from 1 species